GAUGAACGCUGGCGGCGUGCCUAAUACAUGCAAGUCGAGCGAACAGACGAGGAGCUUGCUCCUCUGACGUUAGCGGCGGACGGGUGAGUAACACGUGGAUAACCUACCUAUAAGACUGGGAUAACUUCGGGAAACCGGAGCUAAUACCGGAUAAUUUAUUAAACCGCAUGUUUCAUUAUGGAAAGACGGUUUUGCUGUCACUUAUAAAUGGAUCCGCGCCGCAUUAGCUAGUUGGUAAGGUAACGGCUUACCAAGGCAACGAUGCGUAGCCGACCUGAGAGGGUGAUCGGCCACACUGGAACUGAGACACGGUCCAGACUCCUACGGGAGGCAGCAGUAGGGAAUCUUCCGCAAUGGGCGAAAGCCUGACGGAGCAACGCCGCGUGAGUGAUGAAGGUCUUCGGAUCGUAAAACUCUGUUAUUAGGGAAGAACAAAUGUGUAAGUAACUAUGCACGUCUUGACGGUACCUAAUCAGAAAGCCACGGCUAACUACGUG
rnacentral:rRNA from 1 species